CGCGUAGGAAUCUACCUAGUAGUGGGGGACAACUCGGGGAAACUCGAGCUAAUACCGCAUACACUCUCUUCAUUAGAAGGAAGAAAAGUGGGGGAUCUUCGGACCUCACGCUAUUAGAGGAGCCUGCGUUGGAUUAGCUUGUUGGUGAGGUAAAAGCUCACCAAGGCUACGAUCUAUAGCUGGUCUGAGAGGACGAUCAGCCACACUGGAACUGAGACACGGUCCAG
rnacentral:rRNA from 1 species